rnacentral:rRNA from 1 species
CCCUUAGAUGUUCUGGGCCGCACGCGCGCUACACUGUUCGACGCAGCGAGUCUUAACCUUGACCGAAAGGUUUGGGUAAUCUUCAGCAAAGUCGAACGUGAUGGGGAUCGAUCAUUGCAAUUAUUGAUCGUGAACGAGGAAUUCCUAGUAAGUGCAAGUCAUCAGCUUGCGCUGAUUACGUCCCUGCCCUUUGUACACACCGCCCGUCGCUACUACCGAUUGAAUGGUUUAGUGAGAUCUCUGGAUUGACGCUGGCUAGGGGGCGACCCUUGGCCAGACUGUUGAGAAACUGCUCAAACUUGAUCAUUGAGAGGAAGUAAAAGGCGGAACA